rnacentral:rRNA from 1 species
GAUGAACGCUGGCGGCGUGCCUAAUACAUGCAAGUCGAGCGAACAGACGAGGAGCUUGCUCCUUUGACGUUAGCGGCGGACGGGUGAGUAACACGUGGGUAACCUACCUAUAAGACUGGGAUAACUUCGGGAAACCGGAGCUAAUACCGGAUAAUAUUUCGAACCGCAUGGUUCGAUAGUGAAAGAUGGCUUUGCUAUCACUUAUAGAUGGACCUGCGCCGUAUUAGCUAGUUGGUAAGGUAACGGCUUACCAAGGCAACGAUACGUAGCCGACCUGAGAGGCUGAUCGGCCAAACUAGAACUGAGACACGGUCCAGAGUCCUACGGGAGGCAGCAGUAGGGAAUCUUCCGCAAUGGGCGAAAGCCUGACGGAGCAACGCCGCGUGAGUGAUGAAGGUCUUCGGAGCGUAAAACUCUGUUAUUAGGGAAGAACAAAGGUGUAAGUAACUGUGCACGUCUUGACGGUACCUAAACAGAAAGCCACGGCUAACUACGUG